CUUUUGAAUCUUGUUUUCUGGCUCUUUUUGGUUGUUUUUUUCCCCCCAACUAGUCUAAGUGAUGACUUUUCUUUUCAGCCUCAGUCUCUUCACUUCUUUUCAUCUGAAAUUUCCGACUCUUUUUCUGACUCCCCAUUUCUGACUUGUCCUUUCUAACUUUUCUUCAUACCUGAAAAGACAUCCUGCGUAUUAAAAUGUGACAGGGAAGUUGGAGGUUGUGUCGUUGAAGGUGUUAAAAGACACUUUUAGUUGACGGCAACAAUAAAAGGCAUGAUGGAGGAGGCGUGUUUCCAUGGCAACAGCCGGCGGCACGCCGCAGCAUCCGGUAAAAAUAGAACAAAACUCUUCCUUGCUCUUACAGUCAUGACGCGGAGCGGAUGUCUUUUCAAACAUGUCUGUCAUCUCUACACGCAUCUCUGUUUCCUUCUGAAAAUGACGAAUCACGAAGGUGACCGUGUUUCUGUUCAGGUUGUGUGAGGACAGCAGCGUGUGGUACCGCAACCACACCAACGAACUGUGCAGACGAGUCCAAAGAAUCUCCUUCUCUGCUACAGUGAAGCAGACGUGUUUGAUGAAGAUGUGCGUGCGGCCGUGAGCGGAGACGAUGCAACUCUUCAUUAUCAUCAUCGUCACAUGACUGAUGACAUCAAUUUUUUAAACUCUUCAGUUCUCCUUGUUCUUCAAUAAAAAGAAAAAAAGCUCUCAGUUUCAUGAUGUGCUUUUGGAACACACACACACGCACACACACGCGCGCAAUUCAGGAUUACUCACACAGUUUUUUUUCCUCUGACAUCCUACUUUUUGCAGUUUGGCAUGAUGCGUGAGAGGAUGUCACUCGCAUACUCUCAUUUGUACAUACAUGCACACUUGAGGGCUGGUAGCAACAAUGGAGUAUUCCCUCUCACAAUCCAGUGAAACUUUUUUUUUGCUCACACAAUAGUGACAUUCUUUAGCUCUCACACACUGCUUAAACAAUCCCAUGCGUGUGAAACUCUCACACAUACUACCAACAUUCUGGACCAGGAAGAAGAGGAAGCAAACAACCAGGAGCAGAUGGCCCACAAUACUUACACACCAUCACUAACUCAAAAAAAAUUGCUGUUUUUGAUGACCGGUGUGCAAAAAUGCGGACACUCAGUUACACUCAAGAAGACCUGGAAACUCGGGAGCACUUGAUGGAGAUUGGUGAAAACUUUAGACCUAGCGGAGAAUCUUGAGGACGUGAAUCACCCUGGGAACCAGCGCCCGACGAUAAUGAUUGAAAAGUGUGAUGCCAGGAGGAGGACUCGGAAGGAGGUGGAGGACGAAGAGGGAGAAGCAAAGUGAAAGCCAACAAGUGACUUUUGUUCCGUUCUGAAUGAAGUUGCCACUUGAAUAAAAGCAAUGACUUGAUUGUCGCCCCACUGAAGGCACCAAAGAAGAUGCACUUUGCCAAGCCAGAGUGUCAAGUGAACUUUAUUACUGGAACUUUGUCAUGAUUGAACAACAACAAAGCACAGAGUAACUUCCUUAAAGCGCUGACGCUCUACAGUCACAUAAACACAGCAAAAAAAAAA